rnacentral:rRNA from 1 species
UAGGGAAUAUUGCACAAUGGGCGAAAGCCUGAUGCAGCAACGCCGCGUGCGCGAUGAAGGCCUUCGGGUCGUAAAGCGCUUUUCGGGGAGAUGGGGAAGGACAGUAUCCCCGGAAUAAGGCUCGGCUAACUACGUGCCAGCAGCCGCGGUAAAACGUAGGAGCCAAGCGUUAUCCGAAUUCACUGGGCGUAAAGCGCGUGCAGGCGGCAUGAUAAGUUGGAUGUGAAAUCUCCUGGCUCAACUGGGAGGGGACGUUCAAUACUGACAAGCUAGAGGACGGCAGAGGGAGGUGGAAUUCCCGGUGUAGUGGUGAAAUGCGUAGAUAUCGGGAGGAACACCAGUGGCGAAAGCGGCCUUCUGGGCCGAUCCUGACGCUCAGACGCGAAAGCUAGGGGAGCGAACG